rnacentral:rRNA from 1 species
UGGUGGAGUGAUUUGUCUGGUUAAUUCCGUUAACGAACGAGACCUCGACCUACUAAAUAGUUUGGCGUAGACUCAUCUAUGCACAAGCUUCUUAGAGGGACUGUCGGUUUGUAGCCGAAGGAAGUUCGAGGCAAUAACA